rnacentral:lncRNA from 1 species
CCUCUCGGAGAACUCCAUGGUGCGGGGAAGGCGGCGGCGGGGGCUGAGGAGGCGGCGGCAGCGGCGGCAGCGGCAGCGGCGGCAGCGGCAGCGGCGGCGCGGGCUCGUGUCACCGCGGCGGAGCCGCCGGGACCAAGGGACACAGAGUAGGACAACUGCCGAGGAAGGGGGACAUUGAGGCAGCUUGCAGAAACACACAUGGAGAAACAGAACCAAAGAGCAGGGUAACCAGCAAACCAGGCAGUGGAGGCAGGGAUGGGUACCCAUCCCGAGAUCUUGGGUGAUACCAAAGGCGGCACAUCCGGAAGGCUGGUUAUACCUAGCGUGGAGGGGAGAGGGAGAACUGUUUCUUCCGUUCAAUAAAGCAAACCCUUCAACAAGA